ACACUAAAGGCCUAGAUGCUGCUCCCUCCAGCUGCCUCCCAUUUGUAUUUUACAGACUCUCCAAAUAACAAGCAUGAGCUCCAAAACUUCAACUUAAGGCUAGAGGCUGGGGGUAUUCCCCUUUGAGAUUAUUUUAAUUCAGCUCCACAUUUUAUAGAAGAAACUGAGAUGCAAAAAUAUGAGCUGGUUUAGAGGAAACUGAAGAAAUAGUAAUGAUCGUUGUAAUCACUGUCUUGGCUGAGAACUUCCUGUCUACAGACAAAGAGAACCCAUGAAAGUUUCAUUCUUGGAGAGAACAAAUGCAGAGGAAGAAGACUCUCAGCAGAUGACUCCAGUAGUUGUGUGUCCAGUGGUUCAGAGGGUGAAGAAACCAAAGGUAGGAAGGCAAGAACUCCUCCUGAAAGAAGGUUCACAUCAAAACCUGCAGCUUGAGAAGAACCUUGCAUUGUGGAGAGGCCUGGCCUCCUCCCACCCCCUUGCUUCCCUUGGUGUACCUACCAAGAAGUAGGCCUGUGGGGAAAAAACCUCAGAAGGUUACAGAGAACCACCUGGAAUGAUGACACAGAAUGAUGAGAAGGGAUGCUUGCAAGCUUUCUUUGAGGCAAGGUGUGCUUGAACUAGAUUCCAUUUAAAAUUUUUUUAAUUAAAAAAAAAGCCACUGUUUAAGUUGA